AUUAAACGCUGGCGGCAUGCCUUACACAUGCAAGUCGAACGGCAGCACGGGGGCAACCCUGGUGGCGAGUGGCGAACGGGUGAGUAAAGCAUCGGAACGUGCCCUGGAAUGGGGGAUAACGUAGCGAAAGUUACGCUAAUACCGCAUAUUCUGUGAGCAGGAAAGCAGGGGAUCGCAAGACCUUGCGUUCGAGGAACGGCCGAUGUCGGAUUAGCUAGUUGGUGGGGUAAAGGCCUACCAAGGCAACGAUCCGUAGCGGGUCUGAGAGGACGACCAGCCACACUGGGACUGAGACACGGCCCAGACUCCUACGGGAGGCAGCAGUGGGGAAUUUUGGACAAUGGACGCAAGUCUGAUCCAGCAAUGCCGCGUGCAGGACGAAGGCCUUCGGGUUGUAAACUGCUUUUGUCAGGGAGAAAUCUUCUGGGCUAAUACCCCGGGAGGAUGACGGUACCUGAAGAAUAAGCACGGCUAACUACGUGCCAGCAGCGCGGUAAUCU
rnacentral:rRNA from 1 species